UUAUAUCAAACCUUAAACAUUGAGGGUACUAUAGUUUCCUAUAUGACAUAGGAAUGUAAAAAUUCCGAAAGAAAAGACAAAGAUCACUUUUAGCUCACUAUUGAAACUAUUUACAUCCAAUAAACGCAAAAGCAUAUAAUUUAGAUAUUGUUUUUACAUAAUAUACUAUACAAAAAAAAAAUAAUAUUUUCCUAUGAUUUUAUGAGUCACACACUGUCAUUUUCCCCAAAAAAAUCCUAUAAUUAACUUAAUGAAGAGAAAAAAGAAGCAUCCUACUCAAAUCCAUCACAUACAUCAAUUAUAGCUACAAAAAGGAACAAAAGUUUGACAAGAAACAACUUUACCAUCAAGUAUUGCAACAGAGAAAUUUCACAAUCAUAUGAAGGUAGUUUCAAGAGAUGAGGGGAAGGUAGACGAAUAAUCAAUGGUCGCGAUGGAUAUAGCGGAUAUAGAGGUAGUGACGAGGAAGAUAAUAAUAAUAAUGGCGGUGUCAGAGACAGUAGCUUACGAACAUGAGGUAGAGGUGAUGGUAACGGUGAUGGCGGAGGUGGUGUAUUGGGUGGUAGGAACAACGAUGGAGACAAGCUAGUAGUAGGGUGAUUGCGAGCUGCUACAAAAAAUACGAGAUUUACUGCUAUUGAAAAUACUAGUUGAAGGCAAAAGCUGAC
rnacentral:lncRNA from 1 species